rnacentral:rRNA from 1 species
GACGAACGCUGGCGGCGUGCUUAACACAUGCAAGUCGAACGGGGAACCUCUUCGGAGGGGAUCAGUGGCGAACGGGUGAGUAACACGUGGGCAACCUGCCCCCGGCUCUGGGAUAACUCCAAGAAAUUGGGGCUAAUACCGGAUGUUCACCGCUUCCCGCAUGGGUGGUGGUGGAAAGGGUUUCCGGCUGGGGAUGGGCCCGCGGCCUAUCAGCUUGUUGGUGGGGUAGUGGCCUACCAAGGCGACGACGGGUAGCCGGCCUGAGAGGGUGACCGGCCACACUGGGACUGAGACACGGCCCAGACUCCUACGGGAGGCAGCAGUGGGGAAUAUUGCGCAAUGGGCGGAAGCCUGACGCAGCGACGCCGCGUGGGGGAUGACGGCCUUCGGGUUGUAAACCUCUUUCAGCAGGGACGAAGCGCAAGUGACGGUACCUGCAGAAGAAGCACCGGCCAACUACGUG